rnacentral:lncRNA from 1 species
GAAAGACCAGUUUGAUUUAAGAAUGGAUUAGACUGACCAAAAGUUGGAGACCUAUUAGGAGGCAGUACAGUUGACCAGGGGAGAGAUGUUGAUCUAGAAUGAAGAUGUGGUAGAGAUGGAAAGUGGAAAAAUUUUUGAGAUUGAACUUGGUGAUUUCUUGGAUGUGAAGGUGUAGGAGAAGUGAGAGGUGUCAAGGACAGCUCAGGGUUUUUUUUCACAACCAAGCAAACAAUGGUGCCAUUUAUCAUGAUGAAGGAGUCAGAGAAAAUGAGGUGAAACCACCUCCCAGGUCAGCAAGGAAAACAAGGUGAGUGCUGUAAACAGGAUAUUUUGAGAAUACAGUGCUGUCUAUAUUUUGUAAGAUGUGAAUAGGAUAUUUUGAGAAUAUAGAGGAGGAGUGCUUAAUUCAACUUGGAAGGUGAAAGGAAAUGCUUUCUGACAAAUAGAAUCCUUGAAUGGUAUCCUUAAAAAAGGAACUAUUCUUGCAGAUAGUGGGGAAUUGCAUAUUCUGAGCAGGUGGGCACAGAAACAAGAAAUGGCAUUUUAGGGAACUGAAGAUAGUUGGAUAUUCUGGCUCCACAGACUAGUGUAGUAGGAGCAGAUGUUAUAGAUAAAAGCAGAGAUGAGAUCAUAGAGGAGCUGGCAUAUUAUUCUAAUAUGAAGCAAUUUUUUUCUUGAAGAUGUAAGAUAUUAUUAAGAGGACCUUUAAGCAAGAGAAAAAAUAGUCUUUCAUUGCAAAAAUCUUUUUGAGGUGGGGACUA